CCAGCCCACCACUGUGCUCCCAGAGGGAGAACAGAGAGGGGUGCAGAGGGCCAGAGAGGCACGGGGCUCCCCUGGGCACCCCUCGUCUUGGGGCCCCUGCCCUGCCUCCACUCAGAAUCCCACUAUGUGCUUGGAGCCAUGCUGGGUGCUGGGGAGACACACUAACCACUUCCCCAUAUGCUCACAGCCAGAGAGACACACAGGCCAGCAGCCUGUAAACCACUGGGUGUGGGGUGUCUGGUCCUGGAGUGACAAGGACAGGGAGGAAGAAAGCCAGGCAGGUGGCCCAUGAGCCGUGGAGUAGGUGGGGAAGGGGACAUCUCCAAGGAGGUGACAUCGGAGCAGUCCUCUAAGGAGUUUGGAGUCAUUUUCAGUCACUCACAAGCCACAGGAGGGCUUCAGCCUGAAGCUCAGAGGUGAUGUGCUUAGAUGUCACAGAGCCGGGAGGGGAACAGGCUGGGCUGCAGAGAGGAGGCCAGGCACAGUCACCUCGUGUUGCUGUCCCCCAGGUAGGAGAUAAGGGACCAGAGUCAGGGCAGGUGGGAGAAGGGGAGGUUCUUGGUUCAGCUGCUGCUGAGACAGUGACCCUGGGGACAGCCCAAAUAAGAGAGAACUUUGCCACCCGCAGGGUCCCAGAGUAGCAGAAGCUUCAGGGCUGAUGUGUGCCUGGUGAAUCAGCCUGGCCCCAGACCUCCUCUCUCUGCUUGCUUUCCUGUCCACAAUCCAGUGCUUCUGUCCUAUGGUCCCCAGCGGCUGCUCCUGCAUUCACCAUCACAUCUGCAUUCCAGCAGCAGGAGGGAGGGAAAAGAGGAGACCAAAAAUAUGUUGACAAAGGUUUGGAAGCUGGGAAGCAGGAGGACAGAUGGAGACUGGCCUAGGAGACUGGAGAGGGUAGACACCAAGCCCUGCAGGAAGAAGAGCCACCAAGAAUGAGGCAGUUCCCAACCCAGGACCCUGACAGGCAGGUCUCACCCCAGCCCAUGAAGCCAGAUGCUACUGAUUCUCAAGCUCAGCUAGAGACAGGUUGAGUCUCCAGAAAAGCUGAGCCUGAGAGGUUCUGA
rnacentral:lncRNA from 1 species